GAGGUAGGGAGGUUUACUGGGAGGUAGGGAGGUUUACUGGGAGGUAGAGAGGUUUACUGGGAGGUAGGGAGGUUUACUGGGAAGUAUGGAGAUUUACUGGAAGAUAGGGAGGUUUACUGGGAGAUAGGGAGGUAGGGAGGUUUACUGGGAGGCAGGGAGGUUUACUGGGAGGCAGGGAGGUUUACUGGAAGGUAGGGAGAUUUACUGGGAGGUAGGGAGGUUUACUGGGAGGUAGAGAGGUAUGGUGGUUUACCGAGAGGUAGGGAGGUAGAGAGGUUUACUGGGAGGUAGGGAGGUGUACUGAGAGUUAGAGAGGUGUACUGAGAGGUAGGGAGGUUUACUGAGAGGUAGAGAUGUAGAGAGAUUUACUGAGAGGUAGGGAGAUGUAAUGAGAGGUAGGGAUAUAGGGAAGUUUACUGAGAGGUAGGGAGGUUUACUGGGAGGUAGGGAUGUAGGGAAGUUUACUGAGAGGUAGGAAGGUUUACUGGGGGGUAGGGAUGUUUACUGGUAGAGAGGGAUGUAGGGAUGUAGGGAGGUUUACUGAGAGGCAGGGAGGCUUACUGAGAGGUAGGGAGGUUUAAUGGGAGGUAGGGAGGUUUAAUGGGAGGCAGGAAAGGUUUACUGAGAGGUAGGGAGGUUAACUGAGAGGUAGGGAGGUUGAAUGGGAGGUAGGGAGGUAGGGAGGUUUACUGGGAGGUAGGGAGGUUUUACUAAGAAGUAGAGAGGUUUAUUGAGAGGUAGGGAGGUUUACUAAGAGGUAGGGAGGUUUAUUGAGAGGUAGGGAGGUUUUUGAUGAAAGGUAGGGAGGUUUACUGAGAGAUAGGGGGUAGGGAGGUUUACUGGGAGGUAGGGGGUUUACUGGGAGGGAGGCAGGUGUACUGGGUGGGAGGGGAGGAAAUAGGGAGGUGUCCUGGGAGGGAGGUAGGUAGGGAGGUGUACUGGGUAGGAGAGAGGUGUACUGGGUGGGAGGGGAGGAGAUAUGAUGGUGUACUGGGUGGGAUGGAGGGAGGGAGGUAGGGAGGUGUACUGGGAGGGAGGAAGGUGUACUGGUAGGGAGGGAGGGAGGUAGGGCGGUGUACUGGUAGGGAGGUAGGGAUGUGUACUGGGAGG
ensembl:lncRNA